rnacentral:rRNA from 1 species
GACGAACGCUGGCGGCGUGCUUAACACAUGCAAGUCGAACGGAAAGGCCCUGCUUUUGUGGGGUGCUCGAGUGGCGAACGGGUGAGUAACACGUGAGUAACCUGCCCUUGACUUUGGGAUAACUUCAGGAAACUGGGGCUAAUACCGGAUAGGAGCUCCUGCUGCAUGGUGGGGGUUGGAAAGUUUCGGCGGUUGGGGAUGGACUCGCGGCUUAUCAGCUUGUUGGUGGGGUAGUGGCUUACCAAGGCUUUGACGGGUAGCCGGCCUGAGAGGGUGACCGGCCACAUUGGGACUGAGAUACGGCCCAGACUCCUACGGGAGGCAGCAGUGGGGAAUAUUGCACAAUGGGCGGAAGCCUGAUGCAGCAACGCCGCGUGCGGGAUGACGGCCUUCGGGUUGUAAACCGCUUUCGCCUGUGACGAAGCGUGAGUGACGGUAAUGGGUAAAGAAGCACCGGCUAACUACGUGCCAGCAGCCGCGGUGAUACGUAGGGUGCGAGCGUUGUCCGGAUUUAUUGGGCGUAAAGGGCUCGUAGGUGGUUGAUCGCGUCGGAAGUGUAAUCUUGGGGCUUAACCCUGAGCGUGCUUUCGAUACGGGUUGACUUGAGGAAGGUAGGGGAGAAUGGAAUUCCUGGUGGAGCGGUGGAAUGCGCAGAUAUCAGGAGGAACACCAGUGGCGAAGGCGGUUCUCUGGGCCUUUCCUGACGCUGAGGAGCGAAAGCGUGGGGAGCGAACAGGCUUAGAUACCCUGGUAGUCCACGCUGUAAACGGUGGGUACUAGGUGUGGGGUCCAUUCCACGGGUUCCGUGCCGUAGCUAACGCUUUAAGUACCCCGCCUGGGGAGUACGGCCGCAAGGCUAAAACUCAAAGGAAUUGACGGGGCCCCGCACAAGCGGCGGAGCAUGCGGAUUAAUUCGAUGCAACGCGUAGAACCUUACCUGGGUUUGACAUGGAUCGGGAGUGCUCAGAGAUGGGUGUGCCUCUUUUGGGGUCGGUUCACAGGUGGUGCAUGGCUGUCGUCAGCUCGUGUCGUGAGAUGUUGGGUUAAGUCCCGCAACGAGCGCAACCCUUGUUCACUGUUGCCAGCACGUUAUGGUGGGGACUCAGUGGAGACCGCCGGGGUCAACUCGGAGGAAGGUGGGGAUGACGUCAAGUCAUCAUGCCCCUUAUGUCCAGGGCUUCACGCAUGCUACAAUGGCUGGUACAGAGAGUGGCGAGCCUGUGAGGGUGAGCGAAUCUCGGAAAGCCGGUCUCAGUUCGGAUUGGGGUCUGCAACUCGACCCCAUGAAGUCGGAGUCGCUAGUAAUCGCAGAUCAGCAACGCUGCGGUGAAUACGUUCCCGGG